CGUGCCUAAGCUUAUGCAAGUCGAACGCGAACGGCUCCUUCGGGAGCCUAGUAGAGUGGCAAACGGGUGAGUAACGCGUGGGUAACGUACCCUGAUCCUGGGAAUAACCCUCGGAAACGAGGGCUAAUACCGAAUGUGGCGAACGACCGGUUGGUCGCUCGCUAAAGGUGGCCUCUUCUAUGCUGCCGGGUUGGGAUCGGCCCGCGUCCCAUUAGCUAGUUGGUGAGGUAACGGCUCACCGAGGCCACGAUGGGUAGCCGGCCUGAGAGGGUGUACGGCCACACUGGCACUGAGACAAGGGCCAGUCCCCUAUGGGAGGCGCAGGCGGGAAUAGUUCACAAUGGGCGAAAGCCUGAUGACGCGACGCCGCGUGAGCGAAGAAGACCUUCGGGUUGUAAAGCUCUGUCAGGAGGGAAGAAGGCUCUACGGGUCAAUAGCCCGUGGGAUUGACGGUACCUCCAGAGGAAGCCCCGGCUAAAUACGUGCCAGCAGCCGCGGUAAUACGUAUGGGGCAAGCGUUGUCCGGAUUUACUGGGCGUAAAGGGCGCGUAGGCGGUUUGUUAAGUCGAAGGUGAAAUCCUCGGGCUCAACUCGAGAAUUGCCUUCGAUACUGGCAAACUAGAGUGGCGGAGAGGAAAGCGGAACUCUUGGUGUAACGGUGGAAUGUGUAGAUAUCAAGAGGAACACCGGUGGCGAAGGCGGCUUUCUGGACGCACACUGACGCUCAGGCGCGAAAGCGUGGGUAGCAAACAGGAUUAGAUACCCUGGUAGUCCACGCCAUAAACGAUGGGUACUAGGUGUCGGGGGUAUCGACCCCUCCGGUGCCGCAGUUUAACGCACUAAGUACCCCGNCUGGGGAUUAUGGUCGC
rnacentral:rRNA from 1 species